AACGAACGCUGGCGGCAUGCCUAACACAUGCAAGUCGAACGAGACCUUCGGGUCUAGUGGCGCACGGGUGCGUAACGCGUGGGAAUCUGCCCUUGGGUUCGGAAUAACAGUUAGAAAUGACUGCUAAUACCGGAUAAUGUCUUCGGACCAAAGAUUUAUCGCCCAGGGAUGAGCCCGCGUAGGAUUAGCUAGUUGGUGAGGUAAAGGCUCACCAAGGCGACGAUCCUUAGCUGGUCUGAGAGGAUGAUCAGCCACACUGGGACUGAGACACGGCCCAGACUCCUACGGGAGGCAGCAGUGGGGAAUAUUGGACAAAUGGGCGAAAGCCUGAUCCAGCAAUGCCGCGUGAGUGAUGAAGGCCUUAGGGUUGUAAAGCUCUUUUACCCGGGAUGAUAAUGACAGUACCGGGAGAAUAAAGCCCCGGCUAACUCCGUGCCAGCAGCCGCGGUAAU
rnacentral:rRNA from 1 species